rnacentral:rRNA from 1 species
AGCAGUCGCCGCGGGAAAACGUAGGUGGCAAGCGUUGUCCGGAAUUAUUGGGCGUAGAGCGCGCGCAGGCGGAUAGGUCAGUCUGUCUUAAAAGUUCGGGGCUUAACCCCGUGAUGGGAUGGAAACUGCCAAUCUAGAGUAUCGGAGAGGAAAGUGGAAUUCCUAGUGUAGCGGUGAAAUGCGUAGAUAUUAGGAAGAACACCAGUGGCGAAGGCGACUUUCUGGACGAAAACUGACGCUGAGGCGCGAAAGCCAGGGGAGCGAACGGGAUUAGAUACCCCCGUAGUCCCUGUCUCUUAUACA